rnacentral:lncRNA from 1 species
ACUGACAUGUUGGAUAGUCAAACAGGCAAAUGGUACCAGCCGAGUGUUGUCUGAACUUGCAGAAGACCUGAGUUCAGUCCAGCACGCCCUGCUUCAGAAUAGAGCAGCUAUAGAUUUUUUACUUUUAGCCCACGGCCAUGGCUGUGAAGACUUUGAGGGAAUGUGCUGCAUGGAUCUUGAAGAUCAUUCUAAGUCCAUCCACGCCGAAAUUAAGAAUUUGAUCGAACACUCCCAAAAGAUAAAAAAGGACUCCGGAUUUUUCGGAUUAGAAGGACUUACAGAGUGGAUGGGCUUAGAAGGAUGGAUGAAAAGUGUGAUCAAAUCUUUAAUGCUAUUGCUAAUCAUUCUAAGUCCAUCCACGCCGAAAUUAAGAAUUUGAUCGAACACUCCCAAAAGAUAAAAAAGGACUCCGGAUUUUUCGGAUUAGAAGGACUUACAGAGUGGAUGGGCCUAGAAGGAUGGAUGAAAAGUGUGAUCAAAUCUUUAAUGCUAUUGCUAAUAAUUGUUUUGCUUAGUUUACUUAUGCUUAGCUGUAUAAUGUCAUGUAUAAAAAAUUUAAUUUUGAAGUCAGUCAAUAUGACUAUGAUCAUGCAAAAAGAAAACGGGGGAAGUGUUGAGAGUCUUUCUGAAGAAUGGCUAAAAAGCAAAGGUCAUGAUGACAUAGCAGGCUUAGUAAAGAUGCAGACUUGGCAAGGACACUAAAUCCUUGAGCAAGAAGUUGUACAAAUGACAGGAUGUGAAUCCAGAUAAGUAAGCAGAAAGAAACCAUAUGGAAGAGAAAAGAUAAGACCACAGUGAUCUCAUGGAAUAGCUCCCACCAAUAAGGAGCUCAGCUUUUGCAAUAUGUAUGAGCUAAUUAGUAGUACUAUAAGUAUGUGUAGAUUAUUACAAUAAACGAGACUUGCUGACCACAAUGCCGUGAGUGCUUGUCUCCCGCGACUCCACCCAACAUAUCCCCACAUGUUGUGAUGGGAUUAUUGUGCACUGCGCACCAGUGUCAACCAAGGCAUCAUAUCUUUGUGGUUCUGAUGUA